GUGUAAGCUGGGCUGGUGGCCGCGGUAGUAAAGAGGGGGGAAGCGGUAAUCUGAAUUACGGGGCGUGAGGCGUGUGUAGGUGGGUACCUAAGUCUAUUGUGAAAUCCCUGGGGUCAACCUGGGAAGGGCAGUCGAUACUGGGCAGCUCGAGUUCGGUAGAGGGUGACGGAAUUCCCGGUGUAGCGGUGAAAGGCGUAGAUAUCGGGAGGAACAGCGAUGGCGAAGGCAAUCACCUGGGCCUGAACUGACACUGUGACACGAAAGCGUGGGUAGCAAACAGGAUUAGAUACCCCGGUAGUC
rnacentral:rRNA from 1 species